rnacentral:rRNA from 2 species
GUUGCCUCACCUUGGUAAGACUACCCGCUGAACUUAA